UGCGCGACGGUUGGAAUUCUGAAGGUAAUUACCAUCCUCAUUGCCGCGCUUUUUAUCGGCUAUAUUGUUGACGUCGUCUAAUUUUCUUUGUAUUUGCAGAGGGUGCUCCAACUGCCUGUCGAAGACUCUCUCUACUCAAAAACAAAAGUCAAUAGGUUGUUAAAGAAUUACUCCAUCCAAGAACGGACGUUUAGGAACAACUUCAAGCUUCCAGCGUCUGACGGUGACAUUCUGCCCCAGUCCACCGACGAACAUACUAACACCACCAUCGAGCCUACCAACAACAUAUCUCCCUCCAUGGCAUCAGAAAACACCAUGUCUACCAGGUCAAAGACACCAACUGUAGCCCUAUCUGAAGCAGAAAUGUUGGAACGGGCCAAGAAGAGGCAAUCUGCUAGCAGCCUGGCCAUGACGUCAUCGCCUAUGAACGCUCCCAAAGUCGCCAGGAAAGCCAGUUGAACUGACGCCCCUAAAGUCCCCAGGACGCCACUACAAGAGGGAGAGACUUUCACCAUUAGUCUCCCCAGGAAUUUCUGCGAGAUUACUGCGCCGACUAUUUUCCCGUCGGCAGAGAAGUUGGCUUUUCCUGCUCCUCAACGUCGCCUAGCUAGCCUUCCCUUGGCGACGGUUGCGAAUGAAGGACUGGCUCUGCAAAUUCUAUAAGACAUCUGGCAUAUAUUAUAGUAAUUGUAUUUAUAAAAUUUUACUUACUGACGACGACCGUCCAUGUAGGCCGUCCAAAACUCAUUGGCUUUGCGUUCCCCCGCCCUCACUUUGGAGAAGGAGUGCAAGACUUUACGCGAGAAAUUAGAGAGAUCUACUACGGCCCUAACGGCGGAGAAGAAUGUGUCAGGUCUUUCCGCGAAUUUGGCCAAGGAGAAAAAGCAGAAUGCCGACUACGCGGCUGACAUGGCGUCGCUAAAGGAAGAGACGGGCGCCGUGGUGGCAAGCCUUUGUGAGGAGCUAGUGGACGCUGCUAGCCGUUAUACCUGGAAGACCAAGGCUAGGUUGAUGAAGCAGUUCAUGGAGGGACAAACGUCAACAUGGACUCCUGAAGCGGACGUCAGGCAGUUUCUAGAGGUGUUUGGGACUCCUGAAACGGACGUCAGGCAGUUUCUAGAGAGAGUCUUCGACAGGCAGUGGAGCACCCUUGCAAAUACAAAGAAAAUUAGACAACGUCAACAAUAUACCCGAUAAAAAACGCGGCAAGAAGGAUGGUAAGUACCUUAAGAAUUCCAACCGUCGCGCAAGAAGUCGAAGUUUUUUCCCAAGGAUUUCUUAUUUACAAAAAAGUAUCUCUUCUUCCA